UCCCUGGUCAUCGCAUGCGGCAAAUCCACCUCUGAUUAGGUUUAUGUGUUUAUUUUUCUUUGCAAUAGGGUGUGGAAACGCAAACAGUGCGGCCAGUUCGUGUUUCCAGAAGGCUCCAGGAGUUCUCUCGGCUCUGGGUGGGCUGCCCCCACCCGCCCCCACACCCCCGGCUUUCAGGACGCUGACCCACCCAUCAGGCGCUAUCAGAGCAGGACUGGUCACCGGGGAUGGCAGAGGACGCGCUGUUUCCUGGAACAUGCGUCAGAGAACACAGCCCCAAAGGAGAAGUGAGUCAGCCGGGUCUGUGAGCCACACGGUCUGCCAGCCGUGAGCCCCAGGACGAGGUGAUGGAGCCGGGGACGCAGGGGAGGCCACCCGCUGCCCUCGUGCCUGCCAGGCGCUGCAUGCCCCCAUGGCACAGCCUCGACUCAGAGUUUGACUAAGUGUGUCCCGUCUGUGCAAAGAAGGUCUUCCAGGAAGGUGAGGCAAGAGUACACUCUGAGGGCGGCCAGGCGCUGGGGUACCAGGCCAGAGUGCGCACCUCUAGGGGAGAUGGGCCUCUGAGAGGUCACGGGGCGCCGCGCGCGAACGCGGAGUGAAAUUAACACCAUGCCUGGUGCUGGAGGCCCCUGGGCCCUGGCUCACGUGUGCUGCGCGCUGGGAGCAAAGGCGCCACUGGCUCCGGUGCGACGCGGCUGUGAGGAGGCCGCCCCGCCCUUGCUUGACCGCAGAGCUCCCCUGGGACGUGCAGCUCGUCCCCAGACGCGCCCCACCCCGCCUGGCCAGACCUAGGGGAGCCGGACGCUCCCUGAGACGAGGCCCAGGAGAGGCACUCCCGCACACCACUGCUGCGGCCUGCGACGAAGCCAUUCGACCUAGAAGCUUCCGGAAGGAGUCUGGCGACCCUGCCACCGGCUCUUCAACACUGACCAUAGGCCUCGGUCACGUGCCCGCUUCUUCAGCACGUUCUGCACACAUUUCCAGCCUCUGGGGGGAAGGGAGCUGCUGUCUUCAUUGGCUUUGAGACCCCAGCCAGCCCUGGGGAAUUUGUCUCCAUGUUGGGGCAGAAGAGGAGGAGGGCAGAGACAUGGGAUGUUUUGAGUACCUACUACGCGCCAGGCCCCAGGGUUCCACGUCGGACAUUGCCCUGGCUCCGUCCUUCUGAGCCGCCCUGGAAACUUUUCCAGCCAAGAACUUGGCACCCAGACACCGGGCCACGGGCCAUCUGAGCGCUGGGGCCCAGCCCAGCUGGACCCCUAAGAACGCCGCCCUACUUACAAGCCACUCAUCAGUCAUGUUGAUGAAGUGGAGGGGCUGCUUCAGAGGUGAGG
rnacentral:lncRNA from 1 species